CAAGUACUCCCUCUGUCCGGAAUUACUUGUCAUCAAAAUGGAUGUGUCUAGAACUAAAAUACAUCUAGAUACAUCCAUUUGAAUGACAAGUAUUUCUGGACGGAGGGAGUACAAG
rnacentral:pre_miRNA from 1 species